GACGAACGCUGGCGGCGUGCUUAACACAUGCAAGUCGAACGAUGAACCGGAGCUUGCUCUGGGGAUUAGUGGCGAACGGGUGAGUAACACGUGGGCAACCUGCCCCAGACACCGGGAUAACCAUUCGAAAGGAUGGCUAAUACCGGAUACGACCACUUCGGGCAUCCGAUGGUGGUGGAAAGGAUUCUGGUCUGGGAUGGGCCCGCGGCCUAUCAGCUUGUUGGUGGGGUAAUGGCCUACCAAGGCGACGACGGGUAGCCGGCCUGAGAGGGCGACCGGCCACACUGGGACUGAGACACGGCCCAGACUCCUACGGGAGGCAGCAGUGGGGAAUAUUGCGCAAUGGGCGAAAGCCUGACGCAGCGACGCCGCGUGAGGGACGAAGGUCUUCGGAUUGUAAACCUCUUUCAGCAGGGAUGAAGCGAAAGUGACAGUACCUGCAGAAGAAGCACCGGCUAACUACGUGCCAGCAGCAGCCGCAGUAA
rnacentral:rRNA from 1 species